CCAAGAAGCCGCCAUUUUUCUCACGACCUGGGAGCCGGUAACCAGAAAGCUUCCACGAUUACCAAACGCUUGACUCUGAAGACAGUCUUUCACCUGAUGACGAAGAUUGAAUAAUAGAAGGAGACCAUCGAAUCUGAUGAUUCUGAUCCUAGAGAUCUGAAAUCACCAUGGUGAUUCAGAUCACUGUGUCUGAGAUCUGAAAUCAUCAUCAAUCAGCAUCAGUGAAGUUGCUGAAGAAAGCAGAGGAGCAUGACCACUAGGAACACCAUUCAGGACCCCAACACACAGUGCUUUUCAACACCUCCAGGUGUCAAACCUUCUAUGCAAAAACCGAUGACUGGAAGAUAACAAAACCAUUUACUGCAUGAUUUCACAUCAGAGAGGGUUGGAACCUUUCAACCUUUAUUCCACUUAUGCUUUAACCCUUCAACCCCUGGAGAUUGUGUUUCCUGUUUUUUUUAGAUAAAUAUGAUUUGGAAUACAUAAUUAUUCACUGUUUGCUAACAUUUAAUAUACACAUUUGGCUAAAUUUCCUAAAUUGCUCAGCCUAACUUCCCAUGGAAACUUUUGGGACUUUUCCAGGAAGUUACCAGAAAAAAAGCACCCAUGAGAUGCAGUACUAUCUGUCAGACACCCGUAGCACAUUGUCUGGUUGAUAGGGGAUCAUUAUAUAAAUUGACUGUCGUUGAUUUAAAAUGGGAAGAAACACUGAUCGGAUUAAACCCUCCAUACGCUAACAGUAAAUAUGCAAAUAUUUGCUAAAUUUCAUGUGAAUCUGGGCACUUCUAUGGAGAGGUGGGAGAGGGCAACUUCAUGGUAGACUGCUGGGUCACUGAAACACAACUUCAGGAUAUGGAGCGACACCCCCCGGCUGUAAACCAAUCAGCUUGCAGAAUGAUUAGACAUGUGACCAGCAGCAGAUUAUAAAUUUCAUAUUUAUAGUGGGGAUAAAAAAUGUUUCCCUCUUAUUGCUCGUAUAAAUGUGGACGGGGUGUGACCGCCUGUGCUGCAGAGGCUGUU